UGUGUGUGUGUGUGUGCGUGCGUGUGUGUGUGUGUGAUGGUGGUGCUGGAGAUAGUGGUGGUGGAGUAGGCAGAAAGAUGGCUUCAUGCUCAGAACCUGUAUAUAAAUUGUUACCAGGUGAAGGUGUCUUAACAGCCAAUCAGUUUCCUCUAAAACUGCGCAUGCCGAGAUUAUCCAGGUGGGCUCCAUAUAAUCACAAGCAUCCUUAAAAGAAGCCGCAAGAGGCAAAAUAGCGUUAAAGUGAUGUUAUUUGAGGAAGAGUUGACAGUUUAGAACACUGCUGCCUUUGAAGAUAGAGUGGGGCCAUGAACCAAGGAAUUCUGGCUGUUUCUUGAAUCUGGAAAAAAGCAAGAAAAUGGAUUUCCCUUUAGGAAAAGGAAAGGCCUGCAUGAGACUUCAGAGCUACAGGACUGCAAGGUAAUAAAUUUCUUUUGAAAAUUCCGGGGUGACUCCUAGAUGCAGGUGAAGGUACCCACAGAGCCUUUAUUGUUUGCUGCCUCUUUAGCAGCUUUCUAGGAUCUCUGGUAAGCUUCUCUUGGAUCGAGUUCUUAUUUUAUGUUCUGAGGUCUUUAAGUUAGUUAGUUCACAUUCUUCUGGGUAGAAAAUUGGGGUGUCAUAGACUUCAGAUUUUCAUGGUGAGGUGUAAUGCGUACAAUGUUUGAGUUUGUGGGUGCCUUCAUCUUUAAGCGCUUCAGGAGGUCCUGGUACAUCUCAGGACCUAUGUCCAGGCAGACAGAAAUAGUAAAUUUGAAUUUUGGAGAUUUAUUUCUGGGGAAACUAAUGGAUACCUUUCAGUCUAAAGAAAGCAGGAUUGAAAAUUCUCAUUAUGGCUCAGUGAUAAUGAACCCACCUAGUAUCCAUGAGGAGGUAGGUUCAAUCCCCACGUUCACUCAGUGGGUUAAGGAUCUGGUGUUGCUUUGAGCUGUGGUUUAGGUCUCAGAUGUGGCUCGGAUCUGGCAUUACUGUUGCUGUGGUGUAGGCCAGCAGCUACAGCUCCAAUUUGACCCUUAGGCUAGGAACUUCCGUAUGCUAUGGGUGUGGCCCUAAGAAAGCAAAAAUAAAAAAUAAAUAGAGCAAGAUGGCAACCAUUAGGUGACACACAAAGCCUCAAGGUAAGCCUACAGCAUAAACCACUGGGGAACUCGGGGAGAUAAAGGGAAGAAAUUCAGACUUUUGUCUUGGCACAUAAAAUCUAUGUAAACACAAGCCAAACCAUUAAAAGCCAUUACAGUGUCUGCUACUAUAAAGAAAUUUUCUCAUGAAAAUAAUAAUAAAUUUAUUGCUAAAGGAAAUCAUAGAAGCCAGAGCUGCGAAAUUGGUGGGUGCUGGUCAAGCAUUUAAGAACUGACAGGGCACUUGUCACCUAACUCUUAAGACUUCCCAUGAUAGGAUAAAUUGGUUAGAGGAAGGGUUGGACCAAAAGAAGUCAUCCACCAACUUUAAGAAAAUUUUUGUGCAAUGAGAUACAUUGUAAAAACACCACAAAAUCUCUACCCAGCAACACAUUCCUCUUAGGUAUUAAUUUGGCUCCAAAAGACUUAGUCUUAUCUAAAGAUAUGGAUCUCAAACUUCAAAGAAUUGAGUAUACUACCUUCCAGCACACCUGAUUAUUUUAUGUCUGAGAACUGUGGUCCCUGAAGUAGUAGAUUAUCUAAUAAAAAUGGCAAAAUCCUGCUAAGACAUCCUAGAAUUACAAUGUCUAUUACAGGGUUUGGCCAGUUUAUAAAUAGGUUAAACUUUCAACAAGAAAAAAGAAAAAGUCAAUUUAAAUGUAAAUGCUUUUAGUCUUUGUUUUCUCUAUCCCCAGUUGAAGGCAAUGCAUGUAAAACCCCUCACUGAAGUGUGAAUGAUUGGAGGAGGAAAGGUAGGAGAAAUCUUCAAGUUCAGUGCUAAGUAUGUAAUAUCCUGAGAUAAAUAGUAUACCUAUAGUGAUAAUGAUUAUGCCAGUCAUUUAUUAGGCCCUUGCUAUGAUUCUUAAGUCUCCAAAAUGCUUUGUGAAUCUGUAUGAUUUCCUCAACAACCCUGAGAGGUGAAGAUAAUUAUAUGUGAAAAAAAAUCUUGGAGAGGGAUAACUUGCUUAGCUCUACUACAUGGUAUUUUUGAGAUUUGAGCUCAGGUUUGUCUGAUUACAGAGCUCUGUGCAUUCAGUCUCUAUGUUUCCAACAUAAAGUCUGUAUAACUUAUCAGUGGACAGAAAAGGAAUGUGUGCUCCAUACUUGAUAUUUCCUAAUUUUAUCCAGGUCUCUCCUUGCUGUUACAUCCUCAGGAUAAUAAUUUGACCUUCCCCUUAAACCUUAGCUUUCUUUUUUUCUUUUUUUUUUUUUUUUUUUGCCAUGUAUUUUUAGGCUUCUGAAUUAACAGGAAAAAAGCAUCAUUUUCUCUUAUGUACAGUUCUCAUUUUGUUCGCAUUUCCUCUUCUACCACCCAUCUCCCUAGGCAACGAAACAAACAAUGGAAAACCUUUUAUUUUUCAAAAAAUUAAGAUAAAAGUAGAGGAAUAAAUGAGGACUUCUUUUUCAUAUGUUUAAGUAACUAAGAAGAAAAGCAAAAACAUCUCUCACUUAAAUUCUUACAUUUAUAUACCAGUUGCUUGCCUCACUAGGAACUCUCUAUAUGAAGCUGACUCCAAAGACUUCAUGGAUGAGGGCAUGAGAGACAGUAAUUAACCUUUGAUCUUAAACAUCUCCCUGUUACACAUUUCUUUGUCUUUGUUUUUUUCUUUUCUUGUUGUGAAGCCAUAUAUGCUGUCAGAAUAAAAUUGUUUCACAUAUUCAAAGUAAACAAAACUGUUCCUUCUAGUCAGAUAUUCCUUAGAAGUUUCUUCUAGGGACACUCCCAACCAGGCAAAACCUUUCUAUGACUUCAAAAAAUGGCAUCAAUAUGUUUGCAAUGUUUAUUUUUUUAUGUUCCUAAAAAUUUGGAAAUUAUUUAACUCAAGAAAUCCUUGUUAGAAUUAAAAAAAAAAAAAAAAGGAAAAUCCAGUGAAAUCUGUUAAGUAAAAUGCAAGUUUUGGUUUGUAAAGCUUGCUUAUUGGAGUUGAGGGAUGGGACCAAGGCAUCUGCAGUCAUCAGAAAAGGCUUCUGCAAACUAUCCUCAAAUUACAGCAAUAUUUCUUAAUAUCCUGGGGAACUCUUUCUUUGACCCUGGUAUCCUAUUAGAAACCUUGAGCUAUUUCCAACCAAAAUUGGCAGAAAGAAGUCAAGAAAACAGCAAGGCCAUGAUUGCCCUUUCACAAUAGUAUAGUGGCCCACAUGUUUUUGGGUUGAACAUAAAAAAAUUUUUUUUAGUAUAGAAUAAUACAACCUAAAAGCUACAUAAACAGAGAUUUCUAGUUAGAAACUUUGAAAAUCAGCUGUAGUGAAUCCAUAAUUUCAUCACACAAUGUAUUUUUCUACCCCUCAAAACAUUUUUACUUUGUUUUGGAUUUUUGUAUCUUACUCAUAAUUUCAGCUUGUAAAGGAGAGCUUCUCUGGGAACCACCAUGUAAUUAUGUCACAGAAUGAGUACGCUGUCUGUGGUACAGAUCACAUCCUGCAUCUGAGGCUGACAGGUAAGCCUCUGAUUAUUCUUAUGUAUUCAACUUGAAACCACAAUUGCAGGCUAGUGUGCCUGGGUAGACUGGGACUUGAGAUGACCGCUAUUUAGUGAAUACCUAUUAUGUGUCAGGCCCUGUUAGGUGGUUUAAAAUGUUUCUAAUUAGCCUUAAACAUUUAGUGUUAUCUUUCUAGUAUGUAUGCAAGAAAAUUAAAACUCAGAAAGGUUAAAUAGUUUACUAAGAAUACAUGGCUAUUAAAUGACAAUCUGGGAUUUCAUCCCUAAAUCUAUGGUAUUUCUACUACAACUUACUGUGCACAGAGGUGAUUAAUAGAAUGAAAGAAUCACUGAAGAUGGAACAGGUGGAAAUGGCCUUAUUUCAUGCUCCAAAUAUUAUGGCAUUCAGUUUUGGUAACUCAAUAACAGGGCAGUCAUUCCUUUCAUUACUAUCAACUCUUAUAAUAUUACUACUGGAUUUCUGGCUUGUGUGACAGACAGGAAAACAUAUUUUGGGAAAAACAGUUCAUUUGAUUUAAGUAUGUUUGAAUAUGCUUAAAUGAUGGCAUUCAUAAGAUAUCCAGUUCACAUUUUUUAAUUCAGUGGAAAGGAAAUUCUUCAAGGAAGCAACAGCCCAUGUACACUGAGGGGGCAGUGCCUUUUGACUGUACUCUAUGUAAACACAGAAAUACUAUGUGGCCCUUUUCAUGUCCUUUGAGUAUCAGAAUGAAUCACUGUAAAGGGACAAACUUAAUCAUUUUUCAAAGCUGCCAGCUGGAAUCUUAACUGGAAAUUCUGCAGGAUGACAAUGCCUAUUAAUGCUUUCAGUUGUUUU
rnacentral:lncRNA from 1 species